GAGUCUCGGGACCCUUUUCCGAGAGACUAUGGCGCUCAACAAGAAUCACUUGGAGGGCGGCGGAGUGAUCGUCAACAACACCGAGAGCAUUCUGAUGACUUAUGAUCAUGUGGAACUUACAUUCAGUGACAUGAAGAACGUGCCCGAGGCCUUCAAAGGGACCAAGAAAGGCACCAUCUACCUUACCCCGUACCGGGUCAUCUUUCUGUCCAAAGGCAAGGAUGCCAUGCAGUCCUUCAUGAUGCCGUUUUAUCUGAUGAAGGACUGUGAGAUCAAGCAGCCCGUGUUUGGAGCAAAUUACAUCAAAGGAACGGUGCAGGCUGAAGCAGGAGGUGGCUGGGAAGGCUCUGCGUCAUACAAGUUGACCUUUACGGCAGGGGGCGCCAUCGAGUUUGGACAGCGGAUGCUACAGGUGGUAUCUCAAGCCUCCCGAGGCGAAGCCCCCAAUGGAGCCUAUGGGUAUUCUCACAUGCCCAGCGGGGCCUAUGUCUUUCCCCCGCCUGUCGCCAAUGGAAUGUACCCCUGCCCUCCUGGCUACCCCUAUCCACCGCCCCCACCUGAGUUCUAUCCAGGACCUCCCAUGAUGGAUGGGGCCAUGGGAUAUGUGCAGCCUCCACCACCACCCUAUCCUGGGCCCAUGGAACCUCCAGUCAGCCGCCCUGAUGUCCCUUCCACUCCUGCAGCUGAAGCCAAGGCUGCAGAAGCAGCGGCCAGUGCCUAUUACAACCCGGGCAACCCACACAAUGUCUACAUGCCCACGAACCAGCCUCCGCCACCUCCUUACUACCCCCCAGAAGAUAAGAAGACCCAGAAGACCCCUCCUGCCCCUGCCUCCUAUCCCUUGUCACUCUUCCCUUCCCUUCCCUUCCCCUUGGGGCUGAGGCUGGGGCUAGGGGGGUGACGGAAGGGCCUUGUUCUUCCUCCAGGUCUGAUUAUAAAACACUUAGCAGGGACUGGUGUUGAGGGAAGGGGGGCCCCUUGACUUGGGAGCUGUGCCUCCCCGCUUCUCAAGCUAGCUCGGAGCCCACGGCGCCGCUUGGAUGCGCUUCCCUCUCACUGUGUCUGGGGCUCUGCUCAGGAGCGUGGGCAUCCAUCUCGCUCCUGUCUUGCUCUAGUAGCUUCAUGCCCAUGGCAGGAUUCUGGCCACCUCCUCUACCGCAGUCCAGCUCCCUCAUUUUGGAAUCCAAUUUAUAUUCAGCCUUGUGACCUCCCUCAGACCAGCCUCGCGUCUUCCUGAGGGCCCCCACCGGGCCCCCCUCACAUUCCCUCCACUCUGGUCUCUGCCUCCCCAUGGAAGGCGACCUUCUCACCGGACGGUCAGCCCACAUUCCAAUCCCAGCCAGCCUCCAGCCAGGUCACCCUCACUUUCACCUCCCUGUCCUGUCCUUGGUCACCUGUUGCCACCACUUUGACUUUUGGAGCUUUAACUUGAGCUUCCAAGUGGUGGACGGCACUGGGCUGGGCGGCUGCUUCCCUCCAGGUAUUUUUGGCUUUUGUUUCCCUCUACCUUCUCUCCUUUCCCUCUAGAAGAGGCUUCUCAGACUGGAGAAUGCAUGUUCAUUCCAUCAUACUGUUUGGGGGCUUUGGGGUGGGCUGGAACAGAGGCCCCUGACCUGAGCCUGUGUGCUGACCAUGACCUCUCACCAGCCCCUCACCCUGCUCUCUUCCCUUUAAGCUUCAUGCCUAAUUGGUGAUAUGCCCCCUGGAUGCACUAAAAUUUGCUCUCAUUUGCUUCUGGACUGGCCGUGAAGUGAGGAGAUGGUAUUUAAAGAGAAUUCCCUAUUUAUUUGACAAAACAACAACAAAAAAAACCCAGUUAAUAUAUUAAUGUGAAAUAAACCCUGUUUGCACCUUGAUUUGUUUGCUGAAAAUGUGAAGUAGUAAAAAUGAAGU